AUAGCAGCCCCAUUGCUGAGUAUGGUAGCACAUAGGUAUAGUCACAUGUCUUUAUAUGUAAGUCUCUCUCAACUGAGAACAACACAGGAAGAAACUUACCAGGUUGUUAACACCAAGUUUUUAGUGGGGGACUUGAGGUUGUGGUGGGGGAUGUUGAAAGAAGUAGAACCAAUUUUUAAAAGAUCGACAAUAAAAGUUGAGCCAGCAGGGUUGGUACAAAUCCAUUCAUGUGUUGGUGUGAAGAUGAAUGGGGGUGGUUUCAACAGGGCACUGUGUCUCUUGUCUCAGCUCACUGGAACUCAGACUUCCUUUGGGAAACAAGGCAAGCCCCUACAGCGAUCAGAGUGAAUCAACAGAAUCAAAUAUCCUACUCCCUGCCUCCUGAGUUCCUACCACUCUCUCAUACUGUUUAUUUAGCAAGCACUUCCUCAGCCCACUCUAGCCCACGCGCAUAGUCACUGCUGCUAAGGGUCUGUCUAGUAAUGGAGAGAGUGAUACCAUUGGAGCUGAACACACAGAAAUAUGCGAUGUGACCAGCCAGCUUCCUGCUUUUGUUCCUUGCCUCUCAGUUGCUGCUGUGUCUUCCCCACCAUGAUGGGAUGAACUCCUAGAACAGCAGAGAAUCAGCUGGAGAUGCUUACACAUAAAUGACAAAGCCCUACCAUGCAUCAGAGCCAGGGCUGUGAGAAUGGCCAGUUCACAUAUAUAAAAGACUGUAGCCCAUGGCUCCUCACCGGAUCGCCUGGAGACCCUUCUUGGAUCUUCAGCAGUGGCCUUUAAACUGUAGCACUAGUGAGAAGACUUCAGGAGCUCAGGAGCCGGCUGUUCUCCACCUGGCUUUCCAGCACCUUCUCACGGGGGCUUGUUUUCCCUCCAGCUGGGAGACCUGCCAGACACUGAGGAACCAAUGUUCCCAAGGCCGGUACAUCUGAUUUUUGCUCUUGGCUGGAAUUCAGAGCAGGGGAGAGUAAACUACAGCUGGGCCAAGAGGACCUGCACUGCCAGAGGACCUGCACUGGCAGAGGACCCGCACUGGCAGAGGACCCGCACUGGCAGAGGACCUGCACUGGCAGAGGACCUGCACUGGCAAAGGACCUACACUGGCUUCCCAGAAGCCACAUCAGGUGUCUCAGAACUGCCUGUAAUGCCUCAUCUGAACAUCCAACAUCCUCUCUGGCCUCCUUGGGCACCCCCACACAGGGCACACACGUAUGUAUACACACACACAAACACAUAAAGGCUAUAAGCAUAUCAUGAAAAGAGUUCAAUUAGCCCACCAAUAAAUGUAGAGUCUUAUUUCUCUUUAGCUCUUCUUUCGGGCCAGUGUAAUGUUUUUCUCCUUCAAAGGGACACCACUUCUUGAAAGAAUAAUUCCAAAUGCGCCAGGGUUUGUUUUUAUUUUGCAUUUACUAUUCUAAGAAUCGUGUAUGUUCUCAUAUGUUUUAUAUUUUAAUAUGCCUUUCAUUGUCGACAUUGAGGAGUGACAUUCAUCUUUGUAAAAUAAUUGGUAUCAAGAAAACUUGAACUUUUCUCUUAAAGACUUAUUUAUUUUAUGUCUGUGAGUACACCGUCGCUGUCUUCAGACACACCAGAAGAGGGCAUCAGGUCCCAUUAAAGAUGGUUAUGAACUACCAUGUGGUUGCUGGGAAUUGAACUGGAAGAGCAGUCAGUGCUUUGAACGGCUGAGCCAUCUCUCCAGCCCAACUUGCUGAACUUUGAUUAGAUCUAAAUUUGUGGAUUGAGUUCUUUGAUUGUGUGCCACCAGCCUUUACUCCCCCUCCCGGUGGCUUUUAUUUGGUUGUUUGUUUGGCUUUACUGCUUUGCUUAGACCUUGAACACUCUCUUGAACUGUAGCAAUGAUAACACGUCCUGUGAUUGCAGGCAUAAGCCUGAAGUCUCUUUGUGUCCUCUAUUGGGCAUAAACAUUCAAUGAAUAGCCUCAUCCAAUUGAGAAAAUAGAGCAUAGAGAUGUUCUUUAUUUCUUAAAAAUCCAAAUUUCUUAGACUUAUUAAGUUUGGAGUUUAAGUUUAAAUAAACCACUUAAAAGAUUUUAAAAUAGGAAAGCCUAAUUAGAGAAACAAAACAAAACAAAACAAAAAAACCAUGAUGUUCACCAUCAAUGGACUGAAGAGUUCAUGAGUUAAUGUUCGUGAUUAUAUCUCAGUAAAGUUCUUUCUCCAAAGUGGUUUAUUUGUUUUUAUUUUAUGUGUAUGACUGUUUCACCUACAUAUGUCUGCACACCACAUGCAUUUGGUGCCCUCAGAAGCCAAAAGAGAGCAUCAGAUCUCCUGGAACUGGAGUUAUUAGAUGUUGAAAGGGCCUAGAUGAGUGCUGAGCAGCCAACUUGGGUCCUCUGCAAGGGCGGGGCAAAUGCUCUAACCUAGCGAGCCAUCUCUGCAGCCCCGGGUGUAACUGUUUCACUUGUUGCUUCUUUUACUUUGUUUCAUUUCUAUUAGCAUUUAUUAGUUUCUUUGUUUAUGUUGAAGCAGGCCUGGAGCUUACUCUGUAGACUAGGCUGGCCUAGAACUCAGAGAUCCGCAUGCCAUGCCUCUGCCUCCUGAGUGCUGCCAUCCAAGGAUACAUCCGAUGCUUGGUCUGGCUUGCUAGCAUUCAUUAACUGUCGAAAAUAAUGGGUUUCACUGUGACAUGUACAUGAUAUGCUUUGGCCAUCUUCAGUCACCUAGCCGCACAGCCUGCUCCCCCGCCCACUGUUCCCUGGAUUCUUUUAUGUCUUAUCUCGACUUAACUUCUAUCUUAUAUACAUACAGUCAGCUAAUAUUUUAUUUAGAAUUUGGAAACACGGAGUAUUACCAUCCUUAUCUGACUUUGUAAUAAAGGUUAGUCUUACAAUGGAGUAACUCAGUUCUCUUUUCUAGAACAGCUUGUGUUUGUCUGAGGAUUUUCUCUUCCUGUAACAAGAGCAGAACUCACCUGUGGCAGGAGUCUAGUGCAGUUCUUUAUUGAAUGCUUGAAAACAGUCGGCUUGUUAUUUAGCUCCAACUUUGGAACUUUAUAGUUUUAUCAAAACCUGUAACCAAUAUUAAUAAGCUUCCAAAGUAUUAGUUUUUAUAAUAUCAUUAGCCUAAAACUUUUGUUAGAGCUGUAGACACUUUCAGUAUUUAGUAUAUGACUAUAACUUCUCUUUUUAAUCUCUCCAGCAAUCUCACCAGAUAUCUGUGUGCAUAUAUGUGUAUUUUAGAGUUUAUUAUUAUGUGUACGCAUGGAGAACUUCUAUGUGUAUGUUUUGUCUCAUAUACUUGUGUGUAGAGGUCAGAGGAUGCCUUUGUGAAUUGGUUUCUUUCCUUAUGCCUUUAUGUGUGUCCUGGGAAUUAUACCCAGGGCAUCAGGCCUGCAUGGCAAGUGCUUGUACCAAUGGAACCAUCUUGGUCAGUCCCAUAAUACUUGACUUCUCUGUGUGUGUUGAACAGGUUUCACUGUAGCAACAAGUACUCUGGCACUCACUCUGUAGCGCAGACUGCCUUUGAACUCUUGCUGACCCUCCUGCUUAGCUUCCCAAGUGCUGGAAUUACAGGUACGAGUCACCAUACCGGGCUGACUCAAUGUGUUUUCUUUAGGUUUAUUCUGGAUUUCUGUCAUUACUGUUUUUGUUCGUCAGUAUAUGCGAUUGAACAUUUAGCUACAAGAAGGUUUGCAGAAAAGAUUUAGAAUAAAGUUAACUAAAAUCUUAAAUACUUGAUACUACUUUGUUUUACUUUCAUUUAAGUGACAGUUUGUUUGGAUACGAAGUUGUGGGUAUAAAAUCCCUCUCCAUGAACACCUUAAAUAUUACUUAAUUGCCGUGUUCAAUUUCACCAUCAAGUUUUUGACAUCCUGGUAUGUUUCCAUCUAAAGUUUCUCUAGCAUCGAUUAGUGUUUUGAGACUUCUCUUUGUCACUUACAUUCUUAAGUUUUACUACAGAGACCUGGCUUUCUUUUCUGUCUCUCUUGUUAACGCUAGGAGUCCAUUCAAUCUGAUGUUUUGUGUUUUAUUUCUAAGUAGUGCUCAGUCACUGUGCCUUCAAACGUAUCCUCUCUUCCUUAUUUGUUCGCUCUUUCCUGCUCCAAAGCCUGUGCUCCUAACCGCUGUACCCUCUGAAAAGAGCACUCUUUCUUGCAUUUGUCUGUGGAGGUCUUGCUGUCCUCUAACAUACUGUGAAGGGCAGAAAUGGGACCUACGUGAUCACGGUGUGCACAGUGCAGCCUUGUCUAUUGUUUAAGUGAAUAUAUUGAUGAAUGAACCAAGAAAAUACAGGGGUGGAGAGGUAGAGCAGGAGGUGUGGUGAGCACACAGUGGGAGUCAUGACUCAGCAUGUGCCCACACCCAGGGCAUGACCACUGUCAGGGUGGCAGCCCCUUCAGCAGUCCCCUCCUUGUGGGAGGGAACUCCUGAGCUAACUAGCCCAGCUCAGCCCAGCACUGAGAUAAUAGCCUCUACUAGCUCCCUACUUGAUUCAUGAUUCAUCCCGACUGUCUGACUUGACUUCUUGGCUUCCUCCUCCUCCUCCUCCUCUUCCUCCUCUUCCU